rnacentral:rRNA from 1 species
UACGGGGGGGGCAAGCGUUGUUCGGAAUUACUGGGCGUAAAGGGCUCGUAGGCGGCCAACUAAGUCAGACGUGAAAUCCCCAGGCUCAACCUGGGAACUGCGUCUGAUACUGGAUGGCUUGAAUCCGGGAGAGGGAUGCAGAAUUCCAGGUGUAGCGGUGAAAUGCGUAGAUAUCAAGAGGAACACCUGAGGUGAAGACGGGUUGCUGGGCCAACACUGACGCUGAGGCGCGAAAGCCAGGGGAGCAAACGGG